UACAGAGGUCCCAAGCGUUGUUCGGAUUUACUGGGCGUAAAGGGUGCGUAGGUGGCGGGGUAAGUCUGGUGUGAAAGCUCCGAGCUCAACUCGGAAAAGCAUUGGAAACUAUCCCGCUUGAGGGUCGGAGGGGAGACUGGAAUUCUCGGUGUAGCAGUGAAAUGCGUAGAUAUCGAGAGGAACACCAGUGGCGAAGGCGAGUCUCUGGACGACUCCUGACACUGAGGCACGAAGGCCAGGGGAGCAAACGGG
rnacentral:rRNA from 1 species